GUUCGGCACUUCUUGCUGCCGCCUGUGAUGAAGGACGUGUUCGCUUCCCCUUCCACCGUGAUUAGAGCAGACUGCCAUCAGGUUCCAAUGGCACAGCAUCUCAGCCCCUUUUCUGACAUCCAGUGAGCCAUUGUUUUGCCCUCCCCAGUGAAGUAUGAAUCUCAGCUCUUUGGGAAGUUCUUACUUGGAUGCUGUACUUAAGCCCUAAGGACUUUUGGUCUUCGGGACAGUGAGAGAAUACGUUUUUGUUCUUUAAACCAUCCAAUUUGUUAUGGAAGCCUUGGGGAACUAAUGUGCAAUUACCAUACGAAGUACUGGGGAUUCACAGGUAAAUAAGACAAACAUUCUUGUGCUCAUAGGGCUGCUGAUCAUAUUUUGAUAUUUUCAGUAUUAGUUUAAAAACUUAUUUUUAUUAUGUGCUUUUGAUUAAGAAGGUCUUUUUCUUAUA